rnacentral:rRNA from 1 species
CCUACGGGUGGCUGCAGUGGGGAAUAUUGGACAAUGGGCGAAAGCCUGAUCCAGCCAUGCCGCGUGUGUGAAGAAGGCCUUCGGGUUGUAAAGCACUUUCAGUGGGGAAGAAAGCCUUGGGGCUAAUACCCUCGAGGAAGGACAUCACCCACAGAAGAAGCACCGGCUAACUCCGUGCCAGCAGCCGCGGUAAUACGGAGGGUGCGAGCGUUAAUCGGAAUUACUGGGCGUAAAGCGCGCGUAGGCGGUCUGAUAAGCCGGUUGUGAAAGCCCCGGGCUCAACCUGGGAACGGCAUCCGGAACUGUCAGGCUAGAGUGCAGGAGAGGAAGGUAGAAUUCCCGGUGUAGCGGUGAAAUGCGUAGAGAUCGGGAGGAAUACCAGUGGCGAAGGCGGCCUUCUGGACUGACACUGACGCUGAGGUGCGAAAGCGUGGGUAGCGAACAGGAUUAGAUACCCGAGUAGUC